GGUUAAAAUUUUCAUCUAUUUUACUAUUAAAAUUGGCAUGGCUGAUUGAAUAACCACGUGUUUCUCAUACUAACAUAUAAAGAUUAUUUUUUAACGGUAAAAAUAGAUUGAAUUUUUUAAUA
rnacentral:pre_miRNA from 1 species